rnacentral:rRNA from 1 species
AGCAGUCGCCGCGGUAAUACGUAGGUGGCAAGCGUUGUCCGGAAUUAUUGGGCGUAAAGCGCGCGCAGGCGGAUAGGUCAGUCUGUCUUAAAAGUUCGGGGCUUAACCCCGUGAUGGGAUGGAAACUGCCAAUCUAGAGUAUCGGAGAGGAAAGUGGAAUUCCUAGUGUAGCGGUGAAAUGCGUAGAUAUUAGGAAGAACACCAGUGGCGAAGGCGACUUUCUGGACGAAAACUGACGCUGAGGCGCGAAAGCCAGGGGAGCGAACGGGAUUAGAUACCCCCGUAGUCCCUGUCUCUUAUACC